GGAGAGUUGGCUGAGUGGUCGAAGGCGCACGACUGGAAAUCGUGUAUACCAGUGAAUGGUAUCUAGGGUUCAAAUCCCUAACUCUCCGCCA
rnacentral:tRNA from 1 species